rnacentral:rRNA from 1 species
UGGGGAAUAUUGCACAAUGGGCGAAAGCCUGAUGCAGCAACGCCGCGUGCGGGAUGACGGCCUUCGGGUUGUAAACCGCUUUCAGCAGGGACGAAGGUUUUCUGACGGUACCUGCAGAAGAAGCACCGGCUAACUACGUGCCAGCAGCCGCGGUGAUACGUAGGGUGCGAGCGUUGUCCGGAAUUAUUGGGCGUAAAGAGCUUGUAGGCGGUCCGUUGCGUCGGAAGUGAAAACUCAGGGCUUAACCCUGAGCCUGCUUUCGAUACGGGCGGACUUGAGGGAUGUAGGGGAGAACGGAAUUCCUGGUGGAGCGGUGGAAUGCGCAGAUAUCAGGAGGAACCCCAGUGGCGAAGGCGGUUCUCUGGACAUUUCCUGACGCUGAGAAGCGAAAGCGUGGGGAGCAAACAGGCUUAGAUCCCUGUAGUCCACGCCGUAAACGGUGGGCACUAGGUGUGGGACCCAUUCCACGGGUUCCGUGCCGUAGCUAACGCA